rnacentral:rRNA from 1 species
UCCUGGCUUAGGAUGAACGCUGGCGGCGUGCCUAACACAUGCAAGUCGAACGAAGCACUUAGCGGAACCUUCGGGGGUAGCUGUGUGACUGAGUGGCGGACGGGUGAGUAACGCGUGGGGUAACCUGCCCUGUACAGGGGGGAUAACAGCCGGAAAUGGCUGCUAAUACCGCAUAAGCGCACUGAUGGUAGCAUUACCAGGUGUGAAAAAACUCCGGUGGUACAGGAUGGGCCCGCGUCUGAUUAGCUUGUUGGCGGGGUAAGAGCCCACCAAGGCAACGAUCAGUAGCCGGUCUGAGAGGAUGAACGGCCACAUUGGAACUGAGACACGGUCCAAACUCCUACGGGAGGCAGCAGUGGGGAAUAUUGCACAAGUGGGGGGAACCCUGAUGCAGACCAACGCCGCGUGAGUGAAGAAGUAUUUCGGUAUGUAAAGCUCUAUCAGCAGGGAAGAUAAUGACGGUACCUGACUAAGAAGCUCCGGACUAAAUACGUGCCAGCCGCUGC